GUGGCCCCCUCAAAAUAUAGGGGCGAUUCAGAUGAUUCCACUGAUAUUGAGACUGAGCCAAAGAAACUUAAGAAGUCAAAGGUGAGGGCGGACCCUGCAGAAGAGUUCCUUAAGACAUAUGUACCUGGCCAGCCUCAUUCAGUUGACAAUCAUGACCUGAGAAAGACACUGGUGGAGUUAAAGCAGGAGGUAAAGGACCUUAAAGAAGAGAACGCCAAAUGGAAGGAAAUGGUUCUUCAAGAUGUGCCAGGACUCCUAUAUGGCAUGAAAAAAAUAAUGGAUUCUAUUACACCUACUAAGACUACCACACCAAGGCUGACCUUGCAAG